CACAAUAUGUCGUGCUCGGGCCGUGCCGGGCCCAUUACGGGCUCGGGCCGGGCCGGGCCAAUGGGCCAAUAUUCUUAGGCCCAACCCGACCCGUUAUUCUAACGUGCUUGGGUCGUGCCGGGCCACUAACGGGCUUCGGCCGUGCUGGGCCGCUUUUAAGCGUGCCGGACCCGUGCCGUGCUCGUGCUUAGUGGCCCAUUUGCCACCUCUAAUCCACAAUUAGAGGUUUCCAGAAUGCAGUGCCAGAUCACCACCCAUUUCAUAAACAACUCCAUCCAUAUAUUGAGGAGUCUGUCUAUGAAGUAUGAACCAGACCACCCCAGUCCCCAGCAAACAAUUCCCCCCUAACCAUGCCUCUCAGAGCCGGUGACGAAGACCUGACGUCAGCAGACAAGGCAUAUAUCGACGAAAAUUUUGGUCGCCGGUGCGCUCUUCCUUGCGAUUUGGCUCUUCUCCGAUCUCGACAAGGUUGAUGAGUUUCUGGACGGCACAGCUCUGCAGACGGUGUUGGCCAUUUACUUUGUGUUCAUCACACUUUCACUCUGUGCUUUCGUGAUCUUCAACACCAUGGUCCAUGCAUAUUAUCUCCCACUCGGCUCCAGGACCCUAAGGGUCUGCAGGGGUUUGCAAUUUUGCUAGUAUGUUAGAGGAAAAGAUGGGCGAGAAGCGAGGGAUGUCGAUUUGGGUUUCUUUUUGGUUUAUUUAGUUUCAACAUGCUCAUCUAUGUUAGUACUCAAGUAGUAUUGGACUUUUUCGAUUGGCACAUCAGUCUAGCUUUAGCUUCUCUUUCUUUUGGCACCUCUGUUGAUCAAUUUCUGGUAAUACAAUGUAUGUUACUAGAUUGCUUAUUUCCA